rnacentral:rRNA from 1 species
AAUAGCGGAGGAAAAGAAACCAACAGGGAUUGCCUCAGUAACGGCGAGUGAAGCGGCAACAGCUCAAAUUUGAAAUCUGGCCCCUUCGGGGUCCGAGUUGUAAUUUGCAGAGGGUGCUUUUGGUGUUGGCCGUGGUCUAAGUUCCUUGGAACAGGACGUCACAGAGGGUGAGAAUCCCGUACGUGGCCGCCGGCCCUCGCCUUGUAAAGCCCCUUCGACGAGUCGAGUUGUUUGGGAAUGCAGCUCUAAAUGGGAGGUAAAUUUCUUCUAAAGCUAAAUACCCGCCAGAGACCGAUAGCGCACAAGUAGAGUGAUCGAAAGAUGAAAAGCACUUUGGAAAGAGAGUGAAAAAGCACGUGAAAUUGUUGAAAGGGAAGCGCUUGCGGCCAGACGUGCCCGCGGUUGUUCAUCUGGGCUCUCGCCCGGUGCACUCCUCCGCGGGCAGGCCAGCAUCAGUUUGGGCGGUCGGACAAAGGUCUCUAUCACGUACCACCCCUCGGGGUGGCCUUAUAGGGGAGACGCAACACGGCCAGCCUGGACUGAGGUUCCGCGCAUCUGCUAGGAUGCUGGCGUAAUGGCAGCAAGCGGCCCGUCUUGAAACACGGACCAAGGAGUCUAACAUCUAUGCGAGUGUUUGGGUGUCAAGCCCGAGCGCGUAAUGAAAGUGAACGGAGGUGGGAACCCCUCGGGGCGCACCAUCGACCGAUCCUGAUGUCUUCGGAUGGAUUUGAGUAAGAGCAUAGCUGUUGGGACCCGAAAGAUGGUGAACUAUGCCUGAAUAGGGUGAAGCCAGAGGAAACUCUGGUGGAGGCUCGCAGCGGUUCUGACGUGCAAAUCGAUCGUCAAAUUUGGGCAUAGGGGCGAAAGA